UAUUGUUAUUUUGGCAGAUUAGUGCUUUAAAUUUAGAAUUUAAAUAAGUAAUUAAAAUUACAGAUAAUAC
rnacentral:tRNA from 1 species